rnacentral:rRNA from 1 species
GACGAACGCUGGCGGCGUGCCUAAUACAUGCAAGUAGAACGCAGUUGCGAACGGGGUAGUAACGCGUAGGUAACUGCCUGGUAGCGGGGGAUAACGAGUGGAAACGAUAGCUAAUACCGCAUACUACCCGAUGGACCUGCGUUGUUUUAGCCAGGUGGUGGGGUAACGGCCCACCAAGGAAACGAUACAAAGGCGACCUGAGAGGGUGUUCGGCCAACAUGGGACUGAGGCACGGCCCAGAAUCCCACGGGAGGGAGCAGGAGGGAAGCUUCGGCAAUGGACGGAAGUCUGAACGAGCAACGCCGCGUGAGUGAAGAAGGUUUUCGGAUCGGAAAGCUCUGUUGGAAGAGAAGCGGUAUCUUACCAGAAAGGGACGGCUAACUACGUGCCAGCAGCCGCGGUAAUUC